AAACCCGUUGGACCUCCUCCCACGAACGCACCACCGAGCAAGAGCUCCGGGAAAGAUUCGCAAAUGCAUCCAGUAUGAAACACGUUCGAUUUGUAACUCGAACUUCGAGAUUUUAACCUCGAUAAUCGAAACUACACGUAGAAUCGAUUACUUGGAUUUGAACUACACAUACGUACGUGUUUCAUACGGUCAUUAGUCAACGUAGAUUAUUUUUGCUUGCAAUUAAUAAUUUUAAUAGUAAGUGAUUAUUAUUGUGUAAGAGUUCACUAAUCAGGACGAGCACACGAGCAUAGAAUUUGGUAUGGGGUGUUCCUGCCGUUUCCGACGAGCGUCUCGAAUCGGCAGCACGUACGUGUGUAGCUUCUUUCACCGGUGUAUAGAGGAACGUGGGCGUGAAGGUGCUUUCGACCGCAGCUACUGAUAUAAAAGUGGGUAAGGGGCAGGCCAUGAUGGAGUUUUAUCAGCAUCGACGGAGACGGUGAACACUAACGUGUCCGACGAAAAAAUCGUCCACGAUCGGGCAGCACGUCGAGCAGCAGGAUCAGGAUGGAGGAUUGAUACAGCCAGAGAAAUUCCUGGUACCAGCCUGUGCACGCGGCAUGGACUUUGACGAUCCCUUAAGUGAAAUAUCAUCGACAAUCAUUCACGUAAGAUCUUUAUCGGUUGGUAACGUGAUCUCUGACCCCACCAAACUCGGGAGCAGUUUUAUGCGAGCUCCCGCGGCGCGUGAAUAUACACCCAUGGGUAGGUGGGUGUCGGUGCAUCCUGGAGGACGAUCGGUAAGAUUGUUCGAAAGAGGAAUGUAUACAGGGUGUCCCAAAAAUGUGGGACCAGAGGAAACGCGCAUAUUUCUAUCGCGCAUGCAACCCGAAGAGUCCCUUGUCGACUCGAAGUCUCAUCUCCCAAGUCAGGGUUUCGGUCUCAAGACAAUACCAAUUGAGUGUUGCAGAUUUGAGUUACGAGGAACUUUACAUCUGACUUUUGCACUCGAACUAAUUAGGUUAUACGUUGAUAGUCUACUUUUACAUGGGCUCUACAGUUGGUCCGAGGAGUGCAGAGGGUGAAACUCCGGUCAACUGAACAAUUAGAGCAUGUAAUCGCUCGUACAGAGACAAAAACUAGAGGGUAACGAUCCUAGGUAGAUGCUUUUCUUUGGAUAUUCUAUUCUGAUAAUCUAAAUGGAAACUUCUCGAUCUUUUAUUGCGCUUUGGGCGAUCUGAUUAGGAUUUAACCCUUACACUAUAACAACGAGUCAGGCUCGGGAUGAAGAUUUCAUACAUAAUCUACUAAAUACGAAUGUUAU